CGAGGAAGAGGAGUUUGUAUGCGUUGUGGAGGAGCUGCAGCAGCAAGAGGACAAAAUCGAGCUCAAGUUUCAAAUGAAAUUCGGGCAACAAUUAUUGACCAUGUCAUCAAUCAUGGCUUGUCCUGAGUCGGAGCACUGUGGCAUCUAUUGUCAGGCUUUUUCGGAAUGAGAACAGAAUCCACACAUUGCCACACACUGGUGGCAGAGGAAAGAUAUUUAGUAUUGAACAGGAGUCUGCCAUUGUAGAUAUGGUAGUGGCAAACAAUGCAAUCAGACUGCGUGAAAUCCAGGCAGCAGUAAUUGCAGAUCAGGGAGCAUUUAGAAAUAUAAACAGUGUGAGUUUGGCAACUAUAGAUCGAGUCCUUAAACGAAACCAUGUCAGAAUGAAGCAGCUGUACAGAGUUCCAUUUCAAAGAAACUCUGAGAUCGUAAAGGAGGCACGAUUCCAGUAUGUGCAGGUACAGAUUUGUUUUGUAAUACCUUGUUUUCCAUAGUUACAUGCGACUGGAAUAAUUUGCUUUAUGAAUUUGCUCUUUCUCUUAGAGAAUAAUGGAGCUUGAAGCUGAAGGGGCACAUCACAAAUUAAUUUUUGUGGAUGAAGCCGGCUUCAACCUCUGUAAAGUGAGGCGAC
ensembl:lncRNA